AUCAAGUUAGCUUAAUUGGUAAAGCCAAAGUUUUGUAAACUUUAAGAUGAAUGUUCAAAUCAUUUACUUGGUA